rnacentral:rRNA from 1 species
UACGUAGGGUGCGAGCGUUGUCCGGAAUUAUUGGGCGUAAAGGGCUCGUAGGCGGUUUGUCGCGUCGGGAGUGAAAUCCACUGGCUUAACUGGUGGCUUGCUUUCGAUACGGGCAGACUGGAGGUAUGCAGGGGAGAACGGAAUUCCUGGUGUAGCGGUGAAAUGCGCAGAUAUCAGGAGGAACACCUGUGGCGAAGGCGGCUUUCUGGGCCCUACCUGACGCUGAGACGCGAAAGCGUGGGGAGCGAACCGG